GGGGGCAUAUUUACUCCCAUGACCGAGGAUACAAUGUCAAAUAGCAUUGCCUCAGACCUGGGCAGUCUCUUUGGGGCCAAAGUUCUCCUCAGGUGCUGGGAAAACAAGGUAAGAAACUCCAAAGCCAACGCUGGCCACUGUGUGUGAGAAGAUGCCCAGCUUCCAGAAAUCCUAGCACUCUGCUGGCAAAGGCCCCGCAGUAGGAUUCUUCCAGGCUUGUUUGAUGAUUUUCAUGGCAGGGAGUCUAGGCGAGCAGACUAAUUCAAUUGUUGUAUAACUGUUUAAACACACAGAAAAAAGAAUCUUGACAAAACCCUCUUAGUUGGACUUCACAACACUGUGAAGCACAAACUGCCCCAAGGGCAGCGUUGUCUGCCCCACCUGCUAGAUUCCCCUUCCCAUCUCAUCAAGGCGGGGCAAAAACCACUACAGUUGUCACCUCUCUUCUCUCCCUUUGGUAUGCUGUAUUAAUUGCUUUUAACGGGAGCUUUCUCUGAAGUUCGGAUAUGUGAAGGUCCAAGAGGCCUGUACUAUACCAUUCCUUGAGCUCAGGACACAGUUCCUGAUGUGGCUCAGAAAAUAUACUAGACCCUACAGUUUGCUAGGAAAAAAAAUCUAGGUUAUCAAUUUCCCCCAGAUAAUAAUCUCAGUUUUUCCUACAACAGAUACAGGGCCUAUUUUUAUUAAAGAAUGAGAAUUACAAAAUGGGAAAUUGAGAAAGAAACUUAGAGAUCACCCAUCCUAGACCAAGGGUCUCACUUUACAGAAGGCAAAGAUGAGGCCAGAAAAGAGAGGUGACUUGCCUGAGGUCACACAGCUGGUUGGUGGAAGAUUCUGGGCUGAAAUCCAGUUACCCUGAUUACCAGGUGAAGACAGUCCCAUUCACCUCAGUUUAAAGCGUUGUGUAGAAGCCAGUUAAUUUUUUUCCAAUAAAGUCUGCAUGUCUCUAUUUGUGAAUGUGGGUGAGAAUACGAGGCCCUAGAAGAGGUACAAUAUCUCUGGAAUUUACCAAUGCUUGGCAGGUGGCAGGUACAUGCUAAGAAAAUAUUUAUUGAAUGAAUGGAUGGGACCUGUGGGAACGCAGAGAAAGGGAGUGGAUAUAUGCCUAAUAUUACCCAUGAUUCAAGACUCAACAAAAGCAGACAAAUCAGGGACAUACAGAUAUCAGGAGUAUGUUUCUCCACUGGGUAUGAAGCCUGAGUGAGAGAAGGGAGUAUCUAUUUAUAAGUGAUGUCUGAAAGCAUCAGGUGUGCUGAGUCCAGUCUGUGAUCCCAGGAUUGGACUUAACUUCCUUGGGCUCCAUUUCCUAAUAUUCCUUAACAUUAAGUAACUAGAGUGUAUCUCCCAGAUUGUCCCAGAUCUAUGUCAGGCCACAGGCCUCAAGGAGGGAAUGGAUUUCAUAGGAAAGUCAUCUUACCUUGUGAUGGUGUGCUCUUUGGGUGGUAGGUCCCCGUAGUGGAUAGAAGGCCAGCAUUUCCACCUCUUAGCCUCUAACACAUCUACUCCCAAUCCCAAGCUUCAUUUCUCCCUUUCCUUUGUUCACAAGAGUUCAUUCUCUGGACUGAUAACUUGGAAGAGAGAUGCAGGAUUCAGGUUUGAAUUGCUUGUAUCUCAUGAAACAAUCUUGGUAUAACAAGUGAACUAUUUAAAUUCUUAGCACCUAUCUGGCCAUUUAUUUCAUUUCAUAUACCAGUCCAUAUCCGGUAACAAAGUAUUGAAAUCCUGUAAA
rnacentral:lncRNA from 1 species